rnacentral:rRNA from 1 species
AGUGAACGCUGGCGGUAGGCCUAACACAUGCAAGUCGAACGGCAGCACAGUAAGAGCUUGCUCUUACGGGUGGCGAGUGGCGGACGGGUGAGGAAUACAUCGGAAUCUACUUUUUCGUGGGGGAUAACGUAGGGAAACUUACGCUAAUACCGCAUACGACCUACGGGUGAAGGCAGGGGAUAUUCGGACAUUGCGUGAUUGAAUGAGCUGAUGUCGGAUUAGCUAGUUGGCGGGGUAAAGGCCCACCAAGGCGACGAUCCGUAGCUGGUCUGAGAGGAUGAUCAGCCACACUGGAACUGAGACACGGUCCAGACUCCUACGGGAGGCAGCAGUGGGGAAUAUUGGACAAUGGGCGCAAGCCUGAUCCAGCCAUACCGCGUGGGUGAAGAAGGCCUUCGGGUUGUAAAGCCCUUUUGUUGGGAAAGAAAAGCAGCAGGUUAAUACCCCGCUGUUCUGACGGUACCCAAAGAAUAAGCACCGGCUAACUUCGUG